UGGGGAAUCUUCCGCAAUGGACGAAAGUCUGACGGAGCAACGCCGCGUGAGUGAAUACGGCCUUCGGGUUGUAAAGCUCUGUGAUCCGGGACGAAAGAGCCUGAGGUGAAUAGCCUAAGGAAGUGACGGUACCGGAAAAGCAAGCCACGGCUAACUACGUGCCAGCAGCCGCGGUAAUACGUAGGUGGCAAGCGUUGUCCGGAAUUAUUGGGCGUAAAGCGCGCGCAGGCGGCUUCCUAAGUCCAUCUUAAAAGUGCGGGGCUUAACCCCGUGAUGGGAUGGAAACUGGGAAGCUGGAGUAUCGGAGAGGAAAGUGGAAUUCCUAGUGUAGCGGUGAAAUGCGUAGAGAUUAGGAAGAACACCGGUGGCGAAGGCGACUUUCUGGACGAAAACUGACGCUGAGGCGCGAAAGCGUGGGGAGCAAACAGG
rnacentral:rRNA from 1 species